rnacentral:lncRNA from 1 species
GUUUGUCCAUGACUUGAAAGGAUUUGCCAAGGAUGAAGAGGUUGCAAAAAUCAACAAGGCUGUGGUUAAGAUGGCAAACAACUUUAACCUGGGUGUGGAUGAGAUGACAUUGAGGAGCUCCAAGAGGUGGUUCCUGAGGAAUGGAUUAAUGAGGAGUUGUUGGAACUGAAACAGGAACGCAUAGCUAAAGAAGAGGUCAGAGAAAAGGAAAUGGCAGGAGAAGAAAAAGAAGGACCUCCAAGAAAAUUCACAGUGAAGAGUUUAGCAGAAGCAUUUGCAGACUUCAAUAAGCUCUGUAAAAAGUUUGAAAACAUGGACCCCCAACACCAAAAGUUUUUCAUUUGUAGAGAGGAAUGUUCAUAGUGUAGUAUCUGCUUACAAGCAAAUCUAUGAUGAAAAAAGGAAACAAACCAAGCAAGCCACCAUGGACGUAUUUCUGAAAAGAGUGACCCUUCCUCAAGAAGAGCCUCAGGCAGGUCCUUCGGGAGGUGUUCCAGAAGAAGCCAUGGUUCUCAUAGGAGAUGACAGCUCCAUGACUGUUAUUGCCCCUGAAGCCCUUCCAGUGGGACAAGAUAUGGAGGUGGAAGGCAGUGACACUGAUGACCCUGAACCUGUGUAGGCUAGGCUACCCUAGGCUAAUGUGUGUGUUUGUGUCUUAGUUUUUAACAAAAAAGUUUAAAAAGUAAAAAAAAAAAAAAAAAUUUUAAUAGAAAAAAGCUUAUAAAAUAAGGAUAUAAAGAAAGAAAAUAUUUUUGUACAGCUGUAUAAUGUGUUUGAGUUUUAAAGUAAGUCUUACUACAAAAGUCAAAAGUUAAAAAAAUUAAAAAUUUUAUAAAGUAAAAAUGUUACAGUAAGUUAAGGUUAAUUUAUUAUUGAAGAAAGAAAAAUACUGUUUUUGUGAACUUAGUGCAGCCUAAGUGUACAGUGUGGAUAAAGCCUCCAGCUGUGUCCAGUAGUGUCCUGGGCCUCCACAUUCACUCGUCACUCACUCACGACUCAGCCAGAGCACCUUCCAGUCCUGCAAGCUCCAUUCAUGCCCCCAGGUACAUAGUUGUGUAUUCUUCGUUGUGGGUCCUUCUAGUUGUGGCAUGUGGGACGCCGCCUCAGCGUGGUCCGAUGAGCAGUGCCAUGUCCGCGCCCAGGAUUCGAACCAACGAGACACUGGGCCGCCUGCAGCAGAGCGCGCGAACCUAACCACUCGGCCACGGGGCCAGCCCCUUGGAGGAAAAUCUUUUAACACUUCACAUUAAGCAUGAUUCAUGCUGUAGAUUUUUUAUAGACAUUCUUAUCAUAUUAAGGAAAUUCUCUUCUAUUUCUUUUUUGGUAAGAAUUUAUUAAUUUUCUUGAGGUAACUAGUUUAUAACAUUGUAUAAAUUUCAGGUGUACAUCAUUAUAUUUCAAUUUCUGUAUAGAUUACAUCAUGUUUACCACCCAAAGACUAAUUACCAUCCAUCACCAUACACAUGUGCCCAGUCACCUAUUUCAACCUCCUCCCUCCCUCCUUCCACUCUGGUAACCACCAAUCUAAUCUCUGUCUCUAUGUGUUUGUUUGUUGUUGUUGUUUUUAUCUUCUACUUAUGAGUGAGAUCAUACGGUAUUUGACUUUCUCCCUCUGACUUAUCUCGCUUAGCAUAAUACCCUCAAGGUCCAUCCAUGUUGUCACAAAUGGCAAGAUUUCAUCUUUUUUUAUGCCUAAGUAGUAUUCCAUUAUUUAUAUACACUACAUCUUCUUUAUCCAUUUGUCCCUUGAUGGGCACUUAGGUUGCUUCCAAAUCUUGGCUAUUGUGAAUAAUGCCACAAUGAACACAGGAGUGCUUAUAGCUUUAUGUAUUUGUAUUU